rnacentral:rRNA from 1 species
AGCAGCCGCGGUAAUUCCAGCUCCAAUAACGUAUAUUAAAGUUGUUGCAGUUAAAAAGCUCGUAGUUGAACUUCGGGAUCAAUGGAUCGGUCAUGCCAUCGGUAUGUACUGGUCUCAUUGGUUCUCACCUUCUAAGGAACCUUAAUGUCAUUCAUUUGAUGUUUUGGGGAAUUAGGACUGUUACCUUGAAAAAUUAGAGUGUUUAAAGCAGGCUAACGCUUGAAUACAUUAGCAUGGAAUAAUGAAAUAGGACAUCGCAUUCUAUUUUGUUGGUUUCUAGGAUCGAUGUAAUGAUUAAUAGGGAUAGUUGGGGGCAUUAGUAUUCAAUUGUCAGAGGUGAAAUUCUUGGAUUUAUUGAAGACUAACUACUGCGAAAGCAUUUGCCAAGGAUGUUUUCAUUAAUCAAGAACGAAAGUUAGGGGAUCGAAGACGAUCAGAUACCGUCGUAGUCUUAACCAUAAACUAUGCCGACUAGGGAUCGGAUGAUGUUGUAUUUUUUAAUGUACUCUA